CUGAUGCGUUGGCUGUUGACUCAGUGAAGUUCCCACGGCUGGCUUUGGCAACAGACCUAGGGCUAGACUAUGUUGCCUGGAAGAUAAAGAAGCAUUCACUGCUCUUCCCAUCCCACUGUAUUGCCUGGCUAGUGUUUGAUCAGCUUUUCAAUGUGCGGUCAAGUUGUUGAUUGAGCUAGUAACUUAUAAGUGAAUUAUCUUUAUGAUUGUGUUCAUUUCUAACCAUGUCCCUGUGCAGUUUACGAACAAUACUAAUCAUAAGCAAAUACUUUCACCUGGGCCCAAUGAUUUUUACCUGUACUGACCAAGUGAACAACUUAGGCUGGCUUAUGCCAGUGAAGUGGUGCUUCUCCCUCCUGACAUGAGACUUCACUGAAGUGACUUGCCAAGAAGAAAUGAGAAGAUGGCACGUGGAGAGUCAUGUGGAUGCUCUUCUCUGCCUCAAGCUCAGCUCUCACGUGCUUGAUCUGUUCUGUCUGUGUCCUUUAAUAUAAAUGUUUAAAUGUUUAAAUGUCAUUGGGUACUUGGUUAUAGGAGGAGGCAGAGCUCUGAGUGGAAUCCAUGAUGGUCCUGAGACCAGAGAUAUGUAUUUUUUUCUUUUCAUGUAUGUAUGUCUUAUAUCCCCAAUUGAGAAUUCUAUCACUGUGAGUGAUACAGCUUCAGAAUCCUGAAGGCUAAGCUAUUAGGUUUGAACAAUAUGAAAUUGCUGGUUUGCAACUAUAUUAUAUCUACAAAAGGGCAAGUUCAUAUAGCUUAACCUAAAAAGUAAAAAUCAAAUGACAUCAGGUAUGUGCAAAAAUGUCAUAAAUGGCUGGUGAAUAUAUAAGAAGUUCAACAUUACUAAGAGCCAAAAAUUGAAAAUUAAAAUAAGAAACCUUUUUUUUACUUCAUCAAAUAGUAAACCAACAAUUAGUCCUAUACUUUCCUGGUUUGAGCAUUGAUUAAUACAACCAGUAAGUAUGCAAAUAUUUAAACUCAGUGUUUUUCACUGAUAGAUAUUUAUAUCAAGGUGCUAGAUUGAUAUGCAUAUAAAUAUUUUUGCACAAAUAUGUUCACAAUUUGUUUAUAACAGCAGAAAAUGGAAAACAAACUAAAUAGCAAUAGGGAACGUAAGUUAAUCAUGCUGUAUCCAUAUUACGUAGUGUUAUAUAAUUAAAAUUACAUAAUUUAUUAAAAUGAUAUUUACCAAGUGUUUUUAAUGACACUGGAAAACAUGUAGAAUAUAAGAAGUGAAUAAUUUCCGAAUAGUAUGUACAAUAUGAUAAUUGUGUAAAAAGCUGUAAACAUAGAAAAGAACAAGAAAAUACACCAAGACAUUGAUAAUG
rnacentral:lncRNA from 1 species